CUUCCUUUUGUUUGCUUAGAUUCUUAUAAAUUCUUCUUUCUUCGUUUAUCUCUCCUGUGUUUUAUUUCUUUUUCCUCUUUCCUUUUUGCUACGUUUUUGGUGGUUUUCACAGCUGAUUUUGGGUUUCCUAGCUGCAAAAAGGGAGGGAGAAUGGAUAUUUCUUUGCGUCUUUUUAAUUUUUUUUUAAUCAUAUAUGUGUUUUAGAGCAAAACUUGCGGGCUUAAUCUACUUUGAUUUUCAUUAAGUUGUUCUUUCUGCUGCAUGUGUUCGCUAUGGCUUGAGAUAAACAGUGGGACUUAAAUUUGCAGCAUUUGGAACUUGCUAAUUUAGUUUUUAUUCUCCUGUUUGCUAAUUUAAUUUUUUCUUGGAAUUUUGUUAGAAAAAAAAAAGGUUACAGUAGAUAGUUUUGUUUUGUUGAUGAAACCAUAAAUAGAAAGUUACUUUCAGGACCAAAAUUCAACACAAGGUAUAGAGAAAAUCUUAACUUUGCUGAGAGGUCGGUCUAUUUGUUCUUUCAUUUUUUUCUUUUUUGUUUUUGCUGUUUUGGGGUGUCAUUUUGUUUAUUUCUGUAUGAUUUCUUUGGUAUUUAUUUUAUUCUUGCUGCUCUGUUUGGUUGUGGAUUUUAAGCAUUUGACGUUGUUUUCCUUUUAUUGAUGUAUACUUAGCCAUCUUUUUUUCUUUGAUGUUCUGCCAUUUUUCACUAUGUUGGCUGCUCAAGUUGUCCUUUUGUGAUUACAUAACUAUAACUUUGGUGAUCCUGUAAAAUUAUCUGCCAAACUUACAAACAUAUAUGGAGAAUGGAGUAACCAUAGAUAUCGUCAAUGUAUUCCAUCAACACAAGUGAGUUCUUUUUAUCAGAACUGUCUGUGUCAAUUGAUCAUUUGGACAAUUUCGCAAAAUAUAAGACAUAUGAAGCCUACUAUUUGUAUUAAUUACAUCAGUAUAUAAACUGAUAAAAAUUGAUGAAAAGAUGAGUUUAGUUUUCCUAGCCAAUAAUUAUGUUGUGCCAAUGGUAUGCCUAACUCUUAUGGUUUUGCCUUAUUUGGCUGUAAAGUAGGUAUCUUUUAACCAUUCUGAGAAUUUUGUGGAUGAGGUAUACUUAGCCAACUUUUAACCCACUUUAAUUAUUUUUCAGGAGAUAUAAAAUGACACAGCGACUUGGCAUAUAUGCAAUCACUCCUGAAAUACCGGACCUGUAAAGUGCAAGUUGUGGAUAUAUGCAAACCAGGAGAAGGUUCUUACCGAAAGAUAAAAUAUUUGAACAUGAUCUUUCAAGAUGAACAAGAAGACCAAAUAAAAGCUAUUAUUUACGGUGAUGACAUCUCCUCUUAUCAAGAUAUAUUCAAGUUGUUCCACACCUAUUUGAUAACGGGUGCGCGCAUACAAGUACCAAAUUUGAGAUGUGAAAGACCCUUGCAUACAUUUGAGUGGAUUAUUGACAAAAAAAACCAUAGUUGAUCCAAUUGAAAAAGAUGAUCCAGAUGAGGAUGAAUUGCCACCACCCACAAAGCUGAAUCUUACAUCAUUUGAAGACAUCAACAAUCAGGCCUCCCAGUCUACCAAAGAGCAGCUUAAGGACGUAGAAUUUAAUAUACUUGCAAUUGUUGUCCGCUGCUUCCCGCCAAGGUUUGUUGCAAAAGUCCAGAAAAGAUUGCAAGAAGUCAUUCUCAUUGAUACUGACAAACAAGCCUUGACCUUCACACUAUGGGAAGACACUUUUAUUGAGGACGAAGGCAGAAAACUCCUUGACCAAUUCCAAAAACGUCCUAUUAUCUUUGUCAGGCGUAUUGGGGUAUCCAAGUACAAUGGUACAUCGUUGACAACAAAAUUUAACACCACAAUACAAAUUGAUCCCCCUUAUACCCAAUGCCUACAAUUGCACACAUGGGUCACAUAAAACAAGGAAAUGCUUGCUUCUUUCAGUUUGAGGAGCACAUCUGAAUCUGGAUCUCUUAUCAGCAUUUCAGUAGAUGAACAAAUAGUCCCAAUUGCAAAUGUUCAAUCACAACAGGACGGGCAUUCCUUCUCCAUUGAGGCAAAAGUAUUACUUCCAGAUAAACUCAAAAGUUGUUAUGUUUUACUAUGUCCCAACUGCAAACAAGAAGUUAGAAGUUUAAUAAAAAGAAAGUUUCUGUGUAUGAUUUGUAAGCAACGAAAUAUGUUAAUUCCCAGGUGCAGAUUUGAUGUAAAUCUCCAAGAUGCUUCCGGAUCAAUAAUUGGGAUAAUUAUGGACAAAGAAGCAGAAAAAUUAUUAUCCCUUACCACAGAUGAGAUUUACGACCUUGCUUCAAAUGAGGAUGAGUUUCUACCAAUGCAGAAUAUUCAGAGCAAGCUAAAUCAGAACUUUUACAUAAUUCAAGUGAAAAAAUCAUUCUCCCGCACUUCUCAAGCAACAUCUGGAAAAUUGUACAUUUUGUCUUUCGCUGAAAAAGGAAAAAUCGUACAUUCUCUCCCUGAAUCACCAAAAACUGAUAUUGAAGAAGGCAACAAAAGGAAAAAGAAACAUUUAGUUUCUUUUGAUGAAGAAACAGAAGUACCAACCGAGCGACGUCACUCGCUCAAGCUGAAACAAAAACUGGAGCCAACAACUCCAGUAAAAAGGAAAUAAAGGAUAGCCUUUUUUUGCAAUCACUUUUGCGUUUUGCGGAACAAAGAAAUCAAUUCUCUUUUGAAGUUUGCUUUUCACUUUUUGUUUAAGGUAUACAUUUCUAUUUCUUUGAAUCUAUUUAUUUAUUUCCAUGUAUUACUAUCUUUCUGUCUGAUGUGGGAUUUCACUGGGUUGUUGUUGUUGUUGUUGUUGUACUAUCUUUCUGUCUCCUACUAAAGCAAUGACUGUGUUAGAGAGAGGAGCUUCAAACAACUGUGUCAUUUGAGAUCAAAGAGGGGCGAUGUUCCUUAUUUCUUUGGGGAUUUAAUCUGUGAAUUCGUCCUCUAUGAAAUUCCAAUGAUUAAUAUUAGCUUCUCAACCUUUGUUUGCCAUGCAAAGGUUGUACUACAGCAGUUUUGAAGCACCAAUCAAGUACUACGGCAGCAUGUCUUUCAAAGAAGCAGCAAAAUAUGAUAACUACAUGGAUCAUGAGGGCUGCGGUGGCUAAUGACCUCUUCACUAACAAGAGUUUCACGCUAUGAAGACUUGGAAAGAAAUUGAUGAGUACGUACUGGUUUCACAAGCACAUGAAGAAACGACAGUAAGAAAGCAACCUCAUAGCUUGAUGUUGAGGUACCCAACUAGGAAAAUUGGGGUACAAUUGAUGGAGGUCAUUGCAAUUCUAUGCUUGGACGUAUAUGUGCUCUUCAAGAAAAGUUUAUAGCCAACUACAGCUACUUGAAUCCAGAUUGUAGUCCCUUACACGAAGAACAUCAAAAAUUUCACACCUUCUCUCUUUCUAACAAACUUGGCAAUGUAAUAGUGUAACUUUGUUCCGCACAAUAUGAAGCAUAUUAUCUUUAUAUAAAGCAUAUUUAACUUGA